rfam:Stegodyphus mimosarum contig15995, whole genome shotgun sequence.
UCCCCAGUGGCGCAACUGGUUAGCGCGCGGUACUUAUACGACAGUACGAGCGAGAAAUGCCGAGGUUGUGAGUUCGAUCCUCACCUGGGGAA